AAGUGUCGUCUGUUCUCUCCUAGCCCUCACUUCACAGUGGCUGAUUCAAGAGGGAAGCCUGCAGGGAUGUCAUCAGGGAGCCAGGACGGGCUCUCAGCUAAGAACUCAGAAGGUAGAGAGAAAAUCAUUUUUCGUCUCCUACAACAGCAAAACGAAACAAAAUAUCGAAAUACCAACACUGCCUUUCAGCACAUUUCCCUGCCCUGACCCCAGGAGGAGGCCUUACGGGUGAUGCAUCAGGGGUGCGGGUACGUGCCCUCCAGACGGCCAGAACCCAAUGCCUGAUUCACCAGGAUGAAGAAUUCUUGCUAUUUCACUUAAAUAUUCCAAAGUGUCCCGUUACCGGAGCUGAGCUGGAAGGUGGAGCAACAAGGACUCUGCAGAGGUCAGCCUCCCGGUGCGUGGAGCAGGGUGGAGAAUGGAGGAAGGCGGAUCUGCAGUGGCAAAUGGAGGAUAACCAGCCCACGAUUUGUGCUGAAGAGGAAAAGACAAAAGAAACAAGCACAUUAGUAAUUUUCAAAAUGCUGUACUCGUCCCAUUACAUAUCUAUUACUAUUAUUAAUAUUUUUAUUGAAGUAUAAUUGACAUACAUACAUAUCUCUAUUGGACUUUUAUAUUGGACUCAUUCUCACCUUUAUAAAUAGCAAAAGAGGACGUCUUUCAAACUCUAAAUGUUCUGAUGAAACUAAUGUAUAUUAAGAGAUUCUAAUGAGAGGCAGCACAGCCUCUCCCAGAGAUUGUAUUAAAGUCUCUUUUGGUUGUAAGUUACAGAAACACACUAGAGCUAGCUUAAACAGAAAAAGAAAAAUAAAAGAGGAGGAAAGUAGAAUUAUUAGGAGGCUGGGGCGUCUCCCAGGUGCAGUGGACUUCAGGAACAGACUGGCAGCCUCCAUCACUUGUUCCUUCUCCCUGUGCCCCUAUUUUGUUCUCCUCUCUGCUCUGUAGACCAGCUUCUUCUAUAUUUCCAGUCCACACAGCAGAAAAGAUGGCCGCCUGGUACUCCCAAGUUCACCGCAGUGUAGUCACCAGAGAGGGACUGAACCUUAUGUCUUAGUCCCUGUACCAGUCAGGGCCCAAUCAGGAGAUAGGAACCACACAGCAAUUUGAAUUGUGAAAGUUUAAUGUAAAGAAUUAUUAACUAUGUGAAAUAAAAUGAAAUCAAAAAUACUCCUGAGAACAA